CCUACGGGAGGCAGCAGUGGGGAAUAUUGCACAAUGGGCGAAAGCCUGAUGCAGCGACGCCGCGUGCGGGAUGACGGCCUUCGGGUUGUAAACCGCUUUUGACAGGGACGAAGCGUAAGUGACUGUACCUGUAGAAUAAGGACCGGCCAACUACGUGC
rnacentral:rRNA from 1 species